GAGGGUAUAGCUCAGUGGUAGAGUGCAUGCUCAGCAUGCACGAGGUCCUGGGUUCAAUCCCCAGUACCUUCG
rnacentral:tRNA from 1 species